GUGCUCACUUCGGCAGCACGAAUACUGAAAUUGGAAUGAUACAGAGAAGAUUAGCAUGGACCCUGCGCAAGGAUGACUCACAAAUUUAUGAAGCAUCCCAUAUUUAA